rnacentral:rRNA from 1 species
GUAAUGUAUCGGAACGUGCCCAGUAGCGGGGGAUAACUACGCGAAAGCGUGGCUAAUACCGCAUACGCCCUACGGGGGAAAGGGGGGGAUCUUAGGACCUCUCACUAUUGGAGCGGCCGAUAUCGGAUUAGCUAGUUGGUGGGGUAAAGGCCUACCAAGGCGACGAUCCGUAGCUGGUUUGAGAGGACGACCAGCCACACUGGGACUGAGACACGGCCCAGACUCCUACGGGAGGCAGCAGUGGGGAAUUUUGGACAAUGGGGGAAACCCUGAU